rnacentral:tRNA from 1 species
GCCCCCUUAGUUAAUCGGUAUAACGGAUCCAUGGUAAGGAUCUAUGCGUAGUUCGACUCUGCGAGGGGGCACCA